ACACUCAGGGAGUGCACCAUGUGAAGACUGGACUUAAACAGCUACACCACCAGAAGCCGAGAGAGAGGCUGGAACAUAGCCUUCCCUUUGGAGGUAGCCUGGCCCAGUGGGCACUGUGAUCUCAGACUUCCAGCCUUCAGAACUAAUAACUGGGAGAUGAAACAGGAAGCUCUAUGACACACUUGAUCGAAUAUGACAGACACUGAAAAUCACGACUCAUCCCCCUCCAGCACCUCUACCUGUUGCCCGCCGAUCACAGCCGGAAUGCAGCUGAAAGAUUCCCUGGGGCCUGGUUCCAACUGCCCACUGUGGACUCUGAGGCCUCUGCAUUUGCGGGUGGUCUGCCUGUGAUAUUUUGGUCAUGGGCUGGUCUGGUCGGUUUCCCAUUUGUCUGGCCAGUCUCUGUGUGUCUUAAUCCCUUGUCCUUCAUUAAAAGCAAAAC
rnacentral:lncRNA from 1 species